AGACAUUCUUAAUGUCACCUAAAAUCCCUAAAGCUUAUACUUCUCCCUCUUACCUAAAUCUGACUCUGGUUCUCUUUGGAUUUUCUAUUUCAACAAGUGUUUUCAAGCUUCCUUGUUGGAUGAUUGUGGGUUGGUAGCAAAGAAAUGAGUGGAGUAAAAAGGACUACCUCAGCUAAAGUGAGAUUGAGGAGCUUAUUGAAUCAAACUGAUAACCGCACUUGUGCUGAUUGCAGUCUCGAGAUCCAAAGUGGGCAUCAGCAAAUAUUGGAGUCUUUUUAUGCUUGAAAUGUUGCGGUGUGCACAGAAGCCUUGGUCCACACAUCUCCAAGGUUCUAUCUGUGACAUUGGAUGAAUGGUCUGAUGAAGAAAUUGAGGCCAUGAUUGAAGUUGGUGGAAAUUCUGCUGCUAAUUCAAUCUAUGAGGCUUAUAUAACUGAAGGUUAUAAAAAGCCUGGUCCAAAUGCUAGUAAUGAUGAGCGGAGUAGAUUCAUUAAGGCCAAGUAUGAACAACAAGAAUUUGUGAAAGCUAGCUUGUGGAUCACAUCAGGAAGGGAUUCUUCUUCUUCUUCUUCUAAUCAAUCAAACCUUUCUGGAAAGAUUCUUGAUACUAUCCUGUCAAAUUCAUCACAGAAUUCGGUAAAUUCUUAUGUUCUUUGUUUCUUCCAAUCUGAUUGAUGGUCUUGGGAACAAGGAAGUUCAUGCUGCUACUGAUUUUAAGAGAAUAUGGUCACUUGUUGAGUAGCAUGAACUGAACAUUACAUGGGAUUCUUUUA